rnacentral:snoRNA from 12 species
UCCCGAUGAAGAAAACAUUCACACGUCUUACUUCCUGUCCCAGUCCCAGAGCCUGUAAAGGUGAACCCCACUGAGACUGGCUGGGAAGAGAAGAGGAAAGUUUGUUCCCAGAAGGAAACUGUCUUGAGGGAC